ACAGCCAGGUGUGUGGCCCAGGUGUCAGAGCGAGGUCUAACAGCCUUGCGUUCCUGGCUUCCAGGCCAGUUCUUCUGUUCCCAGGGACUGCCCUUAGUCGUUGAAGGAGAGGUAGCAAACUGGUGACCCGAGAUUCUUCUUUUUCUUCUUCUUCUUUUUAAGCUAAGAGUCCAUGUUGAAACACUGGGAGAUUUCACGAAAAUCUGGAUUUCUGGUUUCUUCGGGAAGCACCGAGCCCACGCUUCUGCAAGACUGUUGGCGUUAACGGUGGCUUCUGCCUUCCUGCAGGUGAUGUACCCUCUAGUUCAGCACGGUCCCCUCUGCUCCCUGCGACCUCCCCAGCGUUGAGCCUGAUGGCCAGCAGCCAUUUAGGGUCAAACUUGUGCUGUCGUAUUUCCGAUAGUAGAACUAAGAAGCACUGUCUCUCAUAUCCACGUCUCUGUUAAAGGUGGGCUGUGUUUCAAGACGAAUGGGUAUUUUAAAAAGUAAAGUGUGUCAGGGCCAGAAGAAUACAGUUCAAGGUGAUAUUAUGAAACAGAUCUGUUUGGCACCUGUAGGCGUUGGGAGUUGCAACUCUCAAUACCGUCGUCAUCAGAAGAGCUUUGGGUACGUCUUUUCACUGGGGGGCUGCAGUAUACCUUUGACAAGUUUUGAAAGGAGAUUUUCGUAGAGAAAGUGGAACAAAGAGAGGACAUGGGACCCCUCUCUCCCCUCGCCCACAGCAGAGCUACUAAAAGGAGGAUCAGUUUGUUUAGAUCCUGAGUCCGGUUGUCCAAAAGACUGUGCUUUGGGAACUCUGCACCGACUUCCCGGAGGAUUACCUCGAUCUGCUCACGGGCUGUCAUGCAGCAGAACUCGGGGGAGUCGGAGCUUGGGGGUUCCUCUGCCACUUGCUGACUUGACCCUGACAUUGCCUCGAGGACACCCACUUCUUAUUCAGAGAAAUAAACUGCAAAUAAGCCACAGCCCAAAUGUACCACACUCGUGGUUCCCUGGACAAGAGGUGCGGUGCUCUACCCGCCUAGUACUGCAGAUGGUCCGCCGCUGGCUCAUCCCUGCACGUGAGCUCCCUUCUGGUCUCUGCUUCCAGCCGUCCUUCAACUCCACCAAUAUUUCUUUUGUGAAGCCAGGAGGCUCCAUAAAGGUUAAAAAUAAUUCAGCGAUGUUGUGCUGAGCAUAAUUGGCAUGUCGUGAGCCAUCUGGAGAGCAGGAGAACCAGUUCUCUUGCUUCUCUUGGUUUGGUCUGUUUACUCUGCUGGUGCCCGUCCCUGACGCUUGGGCCGGGAGACCUGCUGAGGAAUGCUUCCUCCGGGGUUCCGACAGGCAUGGCUAUUUGUCAUGGCCUCAGAAGCUGCUUGGGGACAGGUCACGCUGUGUGGAUGGAGAGCCCAGGGAUGAAGUCACCGCUGUCACCCGGGGUCUGAUCCCUCAACGCCUUGAUGACCGAUCGCUGAUGCGUGCACCAGGUGAAGAUGCCCCCAGGGCUGAACGUGAGCCGAUUUGGAUGUGACAAGUCCAGCGGAUUCAACUCAUCAGAGUUUCUCGAUAACAACAAGCAGGCUACGAAACCGGUAACAUUUCCCCAAAUAGAUUUUGUGAUGCUUGCAGGCUC